rnacentral:lncRNA from 1 species
CUUGCUGUUCAAGAACAUCGGCAGCAGAAGAUAAUUUUCAGACGUUGUUGUCCUUCUGGGGUAAUGAUGCUGCCGUCUUCCAUAAUAUAGCUCCACCUUAAUCGGCCACGCCUACUAUUAACUAAAAUCUUAUCAAAGAUAGUGUUGUUUAGCUUGGCUAUUUGUUUUGUUGUUUAUGCUUAAUUUAAGCAUUUUUCUAGGCUUCAGAACCAUGAAUU